rnacentral:rRNA from 1 species
CCUCCUUUCUUCCGCCGUGCGGCCUCUUGGUCCCUGGCCGCCCGUCUGCCCCAGCCAUGCCGCGUGCAGGAAGACGGCUCUAUGAGUUGUAAACUGCUUUUGUACGAGGGUAAACGCAGAUACGCGUAUCUGUCUGAAAGUAUCGUACGAAUAAGGAUCGGCUAACUCCGUGCCAGCAGCCGCGGUAAUACGGAGGAUUCAAGCGUUAUCCGGAUUUAUUGGGUUUAAAGGGUGCGUAGGCGGUCGGAUAAGUUAGAGGUGAAAUCCCGAGGCUCAACUUCGGAAUUGCCUCUGAUACUGUUCGGCUAGAGAGUAGUUGCGGUAGGCGGAAUGUAUGGUGUAGCGGUGAAAUGCUUAGAGAUCAUACAGAACACCGAUUGCGAAGGCAGCUUACCAAGCUACUUCUGACGUUGAGGCACGAAAGCGUGGGGAGCAAACAGGAUUAGAUACCCGGGUAGUC